GACGAACGCUGGCGGCGUGCUUAACACAUGCAAGUCGAGCGGUAAGGCCCUUUCGGGGUACGACGAGCGGCGAACGGGUGAGUAACACGUGGGUGACCUGCCCUUAGCUCUGGGAUAAGCCUGGGAAACGUGGGUCUAAUACCGGAUAUGACUCCAUGACGCAUGUUGGUGGGGUGGAAAGCCUUGUGCGGCUAGGGAUGGGCCCGCGGCCUAUCAGCUUGUUGGUGGGGUGAUGGCCUACCAAGGCGACGACGGGUAGCCGGCCUGAGAGGGCGACCGGCCACACUGGGACUGAGACACGGCCCAGACUCCUACGGGAGGCAGCAGUGGGGAAUCUUGCGCAAUGGGCGAAAGCCUGACGCAGCGACGCCGCGUGA
rnacentral:rRNA from 1 species